UACGAAGGGGGCUAGCGUUGCUCGGAAUCACUGGGCGUAAAGGGUGCGUAGGCGGGUCUUUAAGUCAGGGGUGAAAUCCUGGAGCUCAACUCCAGAACUGCCUUUGAUACUGAAGACCUUGAGUCCGGGAGAGGUGAGUGGAACUGCGAGUGUAGAGGUGAAAUUCGUAGAUAUUCGCAAGAACACCAGUGGCGAAGGCAGCUCACUGGCCCGGUACUGACGCUGAGGCACGAAAGCGUGGGGAGCAAACAGG
rnacentral:rRNA from 1 species